rnacentral:rRNA from 1 species
GAUGAACGCUGGCGGCGUGCCUAAUACAUGCAAGUCGAGCGAACGGACGAGAAGCUUGCUUCUCUGAUGUUAGCGGCGGACGGGUGAGUAACACGUGGAUAACCUACCUAUAAGACUGGGAUAACUUCGGGAAACCGGCGCUAAUACCGGAUAAUAUUUUGAACCGCAUGGUUCAAAAGUGAAAGACGGUCUUGCUGUCACUUAUAGAUGGAUCCGCGCUGCAUUAGCUAGUUGGUAAGGUAACGGCUUACCAAGGCAACGAUGCAUAGCCGACCUGAGAGGGUGGUCGGCCACACUGGAACUGAGACACGGUCCAGACUCCUACGGGAGGCAGCAGUAGGGAAUCUUCCGCAAUGGGCGAAAGCCUGACGGAGCAACGCCGCGUGAGUGAUGAAGGUCUUCGGAUCGUAAAACUCUGUUAUUAGGGAAGAACAUAUGUGUAAGUAGCUGUGCACAUCUUGACGGUACCUAAUCAGAAAGCCACGGCUAACUACGUG